rnacentral:lncRNA from 1 species
CAGUGAGUAUGUCCAUUCCCAAAAUACCAUCAACUUCGAACGAGUUCUCAAUCUCAGCUACAAGAAAUUCUUCCUGCGUAGGUUCCAUGUCUUCACUUAAAGUCAUCAAUGCCUUGAAUAUUCCUUUUACAGGAAAUGAGGUUCCAUUAACAGCCUCCAAGGACAAAGUAAUAGGACUCAGUGAAACAGAACGAGGAAGACGCUUGUAAGAUCUCGGAGAUAUCAAAGACACUUGGCUACCAGUAUCCACUAACAAAGUAAUGUCGUGUGUAUGCAGUGGCUUUCACAGACCUGUGAGUGGUUCGACAGUUUGGUCCGCCCAAUACAGACUCAUACCUUUCUGCAACAUCAACUGCUCCUUGUAGUGUGCAAACACUCUGGUCAAGGAACCGGAGACGGAGAUCUUUGUCAACUGCUCUUUUCAGAGCAUCUAGCGCCAAUCUCUCCUGGAGGCCAUCAUCCAGAUCAGGAUAGGCUUCCUGGACAAGUCGCCAAACAUCAUCUCUCAAGUCUGCUAUUGACUCACCAGGGUUACGAUUUCGGUUUAGUAAUUCUUCCUGCUUAACCUCAGGAAAACUUCUACCAUAUCGUCUCCGAAGGGUAUCUGCAAGCCAUUGGUAGUCAUAGCGACUACGCUCAGGUAAUCUGGCAUAAAACACCUGUGCUGCUCCUUCCAGAGCGCAUCCUAACAUAUCAGCACACUGCUGGUCAGUCCAAUGUGAUUGCCUAGCCACAUUCCUGAACUGAGCCUCAAAGGCAGCAUAAUCCCCUUUACCACUGAACUUUGGCAAGUGCAAAGAGAUCCGCGCCACAGGAGUAGCUCUAGAAUCAGUUUGUCUGACAUCCAUGGCACUAACCCGCUCCGCUAAGCUCAAAACUGUGUUUGAGAGCUGUGCCAUGAUGUUAACCAUGUUCAUCUCAUUGUGACUGGCCAUUUGCUGAGAAGGAUGGUCAUUCCUUCCAAGAGGUCUGUAUGACACAUUGUCAUGCAAAGAUGGUGAGCAGUACUUUUGCCUGUUCGAGUCAAGCGACUGCGAAUCACACUGAAAAUGUUGCUGCCUGCCAUGACCCUGCAAGUCGCCUUCACUGAAGGACCUACUCGGAUCAACAGCCCUGGCGCUAUCUUCUCUUGUGGCACCAUCUUCCAAUGGUCUGCGAUAUUCUCUCGCGACCUGGAUGCUGUUUUGAUUAUCCACAAUACGUUUGGUACGUGACCUUAAGUUAGUUGCAGGGCCUUCCAUUGCAUAGAGUUUAUCAGAAAAACUAUUUUGAUAAUCAUCCAUAAUUACACUAAUAAGCUGAGUAAAAUUUCCACAUCAUAUGUACUUAUACAAAAAGAGAAUCCCACUUCUGACACCAUUAAACUGUAACGGGUUGGGGGUGGGGGACGUGGUAAUCAGGAUAUGUUUUAUGUCCCAUCCCAACCGUCAGUUUUGAAGAUAUAUGUAAAAACGGAUUAAAAGAAAAUUCUAACAAAUAAAUAAAGUCAGUGAAUCUUUACUCGCUGUUGUUGUUAUUUAUUUUACAGAUGACAAUAGCAAUUCAAGGAUAGGCAACUGCAAGAGUGAAUAAACUUUGCUAGUUUACCGACUUGUCCGUUAUGACAGGUCAGAGUACUGCAGAUCUAUUAUUCCUAUAAACUUCCAAAUUUUCACUUUAACAAGAAUAACUUCUGUGCGCAAAGGCAGAGCCAAGAAUGCAGCACUGUAGUUAUUAGUAAUUCAAAUAUAAAACUCUAGUAAUGCAAAAUUUCCUAAAAUAAAUCUCAGCCCAAAAACACUACAACUUACGUUGAGUCUGUUGUCUCUCUAACUGCUUUAGAACGAGAGUAUGCUAUAUGACGUCAUCGUACUUCCGGUAAUGCAUGUAGCAGAAGACGCCGAACGUUAGAGCGAGAAGAAUGCGAUCUAACAUCCAAAUAAGACGUGACAUUAAAUUAAACGGAUAUAGUUUACAAGUUACCACCUCC